rnacentral:rRNA from 1 species
UAUGGCUCAGGACGAACGCUGGCGGCGUGCCUAACACAUGCAAGUCGAACGAAGCUUGACGAAUGAUUUCUUCGGAAUGAAUUCUGAUAUGACUUAGUGGCGGACGGGUGAGUAACACGUGAGCAACCUGCCUUUCAGAGAGGAAUAACGGCUGGAAACGGUCGCUAAUACCUCAUAACGUAUAUUUAAGGCAUCUUAGAUAUACCAAAGAUUUAUCGCUGAAAGAUGGGCUCGCGUCUGAUUAGAUAGUUGGUGAGGUAACGGCUCACCAAGUCGACGAUCAGUAGCCGGACUGAGAGGUUGAACGGCCACAUUGGGACUGAGACACGGCCCAGACUCCUACGGGAGGCAGCAGUGGGGAAUAUUGCACAAUGGGCGCAAGCCUGAUGCAGCAACGCCGCGUGAGGGAAGACGGUUUUCGGAUUGUAAACCUUUGUCUUUGGUGAAGAAGAAAGUGACGGUAACCAAGGAGGAAGCCACGGCUAACUACGUGCCAGCAGCCGCGGUAAUACGUAGGUGGCAAGCGUUGUCCGGAAUUACUGGGUGUAAAGGGAGCGCAGGCGGGACUGCAAGUUGGAUGUGAAAUACCGAGGCUCAACCUCGGAGCUGCAUCCAAAACUGUAGUUCUUGAGUGAAGUAGAGGUAGGCGGAAUUCCGAGUGUAGCGGUGAAAUGCGUAGAUAUUCGGAGGAACACCAGUGGCGAAGGCGGCCUACUGGGCUUUAACUGACGCUGAGGCUCGAAAGUGUGGGGAGCAAACAGGAUUAGAUACCCUGGUAGUCCACACUGUAAACGAUGAUAGCUAGGUGUGGGGGGCCUGACCCCUUCCGUGCCGGAGUUAACGCAAUAAGCUAUCCACCUGGGGAGUACGGCCGCAAGGUUGCAACUCAAAUGAAUUGACGGA